GCCGAUAUCAGAUUAGCUAGUUGGUGAGGUAAAGGCUCACCAAGGCGACGAUCUGUAGCGGGUCUGAGAGGAUGAUCCGCCACACUGGAACUGAGACACGGUCCAGACUCCUACGGGAGGCAGCAGUGGGGAAUUUUGGACAAUGGGGGCAACCCUGAUCCAGCCAUGCCGCGUGAGUGAAGAAGGCCUUCGGGUUGUAAAGCUCUUUCGGCUGGGAAGAAAUCGUAUCAGCUAAUACCUGGUGCGGAUGACGGUACCGGCAUAAGAAGCACCGGCUAACUACGUGCCAGCAGCCGCGGUAAUACGUAGGGUGCGAGCGUUAAUCGGAAUUACUGGGCGUAAAGCGUGCGCAGGCGGUUUUGUAAGACAGGCGUGAAAUCCCCGGGCUCAACCUGGGAACUGCGUUGAAACUACAAGGCUAG
rnacentral:rRNA from 1 species